rnacentral:lncRNA from 10 species
GGUUAUGCAACGCGUGCCGCGCGAUCUCCCCCCACCUCCAACCCCCUUUUCUCCCGGGUCCACACCGCAGUUCCCACCGCUCCGGGUGUCCUCCCCAGUGCGCCGCGAUUUUUGUGUCCAAGCCCCAGAGUCCCUCUGAGACCAACCCCCAGCCAGCACAGACUUCCUGCCUUCCCAGCUCGGAAGCGCCCUCGAGAAGUGUCUAAAGGAGACAGUUGAUAGCCAAACAACAGUUUUGGAUUCACUGACUGAUUAUGAAAGAAGCAGUAGACUGGUAUCAAGAAUCAGUCAGCAAGGAGGCCCUCACCAGACGCCAGUGCCAUGUUCUUGGACUUCUCAGCCUCCAUAUUCAUGAACUAAGUUUUUGGAAUCCUUAGGCUUCCACGUGUGGAAAGCCUGAGCUAACCUACUGGAGGAUGAGCCAUCACCUGGAGCAGAUUCAGGCCAUCCUAGUUGAAGCCUCCCUAGGCCAAGCAACCGUCCAACUACCAGACAUUGACCAUUCAGCCUUGAACAUUCAGCACAAAGACAAAACAGACCAGACCAGAAGAGUCCCACAGAAUAGGGGAAACUAUUCAGAGAAAACUUAAGCCACUAAGUUUUAUGGUGUUUUGUUCUGUAGCAGAAGCAUAGGCAUACUGACAAUACAAACCGAAAUCCUUCUAACGUAGUGGACCUUUUCAGGCCAGCAUUUUUUCCUUGAAAACCUGGAGCAUGUAUCCAUCUUAUAGCAGAGAUCACUUUCACAAUGUUUGGGCUCUUGAUUUGAAUUGAUGAUGUAAUGAGCCCUCUAUCCAGAUUGUAACUAAUUACUCUGCGAAUUGACUGGAUUCCACACCCUUCUAAUAUUUUACUUUUCCUCUUUUAUCAACUCUCAUUCUUGCUGCCAUGAUCAAUGGACCAACUAUGCUUAUAACCA